AACUGCGAAUGGCUCAUUAAAUCAGUUAUAGUUUAUUUGAUAGUACCCUACUACAUGGAUACCUGUGGUAAUUCUAGAGCUAAUACAUGCGCAAAACCCCAACUUCGGAAGGGGUGUAUUUAUUAGAUAAAAAACCAAUGCCCUUCGGGGCUCCUUGGUGAUUCAUAAUAACUUCACGAAUCGCAUGGCCUUGCGCCGGCGAUGGUUCAUUCAAAUUUCUGCCCUAUCAACUUUCGAUGGUAGGAUAGUGGCCUACCAUGGUGGCAACGGGUAACGGGGAAUUAGGGUUCGAUUCCGGAGAGGGAGCCUGAGAAACGGCUACCACAUCCAAGGAAGGCAGCAGGCGCGCAAAUUACCCAAUCCCGAUACGGGGAGGUAGUGACAAUAAAUACUGAUACAGGGCUCUUUUGGGUCUUGUAAUUGGAAUGAGAACAAUCUAAAUCCCUUAACGAGGAACAAUUGGAGGGCAAGUCUGGUGCCAGCAGCCGCGGUAAUUCCAGCUCCAAUAGCGUAUAUUAAAGUUGUUGCAGUUAAAAAGCUCGUAGUUGAACCUUGGGCCCGUCCUGCCGGUCCGCCUCACCGCGAGUACUGGUCCGGAUGGGCCUUUCUUUCUGGGGAAUCCCAUGGCCUUCACUGGCUGUGGCGGGGAACCAGGACUUUUACUGUGAAAAAAUUAGAGUGUUCAAAGCAGGCCUUUGCUCGGAUACAUUAGCAUGGAAUAAUAAAAUAGGAUGUGCGGUUCUAUUUUGUUGGUUUCUAGGACCGCCGUAAUGAUUAAUAGGGAUAGUCGGGGGCGUCAGUAUUCAGCUGUCAGAGGUGAAAUUCUUGGAUUUGCUGAAGACUAACUACUGCGAAAGCAUUCGCCAAGGAUGUUUUCAUUAAUCAGGGAACGAAAGUUAGGGGAUCGAAGACGAUCAGAUACCGUCGUAGUCUUAACCAUAAACUAUGCCGACUAGGGAUCGGGCGGGGUUUCUAUGAUGACCCGCUCGGCACCUUACGAGAAAUCAAAGUUU
rnacentral:rRNA from 1 species